rnacentral:rRNA from 1 species
UACAGAGGGGGCCAGCGUUAUUCGGAAUUAUUGGGCGUAAAGGGCGCGUAGGCGGCUUUGCGUGUCUUUCGUGAAAUCCCUCGGCUCAAUUGAGGACGUGCGGAAGAAACUGCAGGGCUGGAGUCCGGGAGAGGAGGGUGGAAUUCCCAGUGUAGCGGUGAAAUGCGUAGAUAUCAGGAGGAACACCGGUGGCGAAGGCGGAUCUCUGGGCCUUACCUGACGCUCAGGUGCGAAAGCUAGGGGAGCGAACAGG